AAUAAUAAUGAUUAAUUAUAUAACAAAAAUAUUUAUAUUAAUAGUUGUUAUUAUUUAUAAUAAAAGUGAGUGAAAACUACAAUACCAUCUGAGACGCAGUUGUCAGAAACUACAAAUCCCAUGAGUCCAUCUGUUAUCAACGGAAACACGUCAUGGAUACGUAAACCUGUGUUUUUUUUUUUCUCAGAUUAAUGAAUCUAACGCCUUUGGGUGAUGCUUGAUGGACUUCACGACAUUUAUAAUCAGAAAAUAUGCGGAGAUGGCAGGCAAUGCGAGAGUCCUGCAGAAGAAAACGCCGCAGACGGUCAUCAGGAGAAGCAUCUGACAGCUGCUCAGUGAAAUCAUGGCUUUCUGCAGAUGUUUAAACCAGAUGUUAACUGAUGGACUGGAGUGCUGUGGAUUAUUGUGA